UACGGGGGGGAGCAAGCGUUGUUCGGAUUUACUGGGCGUAAAGGGCGCGUAGGCGGUCGUGACAAGUCACUUGUGAAAUCUCCGGGCUUAACUCGGAACGGUCAAGUGAUACUGUCGGACUAGAGUACAGAAGGGGCAACUGGAAUUCUCGGGUGUAGCGGUGAAAUUCGUAGAUAUUGGGAAAGAACACCGGUGGCGAAGGCGGCCAACUGGACCCAUUUCUGACGCUGAGGCGCGAAAGCGUGGGGAGCAAACAGG
rnacentral:rRNA from 1 species